rnacentral:rRNA from 1 species
AGUGAACGCUGGCGGUAGGCCUAACACAUGCAAGUCGAACGGCAGCACAGUAAGAGCUUGCUCUUACGGGUGGCGAGUGGCGGACGGGUGAGGAAUACAUCGGAAUCUACUUUUUCGUGGGGGAUAACGUAGGGAAACUUACGCUCAUACCGCAUACGACCUACGGGUGAAAGCAGGGGAUCUUCGGACCUUGCGCGAUUGAAUGAGCCGAUGUCGGAUUAGCUAGUUGGCGGGGUAAAGGCCCACCAAGGCGACGAUCCGUAGCUGGUCUGAGAGGAUGAUCAGCCACACUGGAACUGGGACACGGUCCAGACUCCUACGGGAGGCAGCAGUGGGGAAUAUUGGACAAUGGGCGCAAGCCUGAUCCAGCCAUACCGCGUGGGUGAAGAAGGCGUUCGGGUUGUAAAGCCGUUUUGUUGGGAAAGAAAAGCAGCAGGUUAAUACCCCGCUGUUCUGACGGUACCCAAAGAAUAAGCACCGGCUAACUUCGUG